GACGAACGCUGGCGGCGUGCUUAACACAUGCAAGUCGAGCGGCGCGGCGAACGGGUGAGUAAGGCGGGAGUAACUGCCCACCGCUCAGGGAUAACAGAUGGAAACGGGUGCUAAUACCGGAUAGUGGGGGAUGACUGGCGGCCUAUCAGCUUGCUGGGUGGGUAGUGGACUACCACGGCGACGAGGGGUAGCCGGCAUGAGAGGGGGAGCGGCCACAAUGGGCUGAGUGACGUCCCAAGCUCCUAAGGGAGGCAGCAGUGGUGAAUAUUGUGCAAUGGGGGAACCUCUAAUGCAGCAGCGCCGCGUGCGUGAUGUCUGUUGUCGGGUUGUAAACCGCUUUCAGCCAUGACGCGGUAGUUGCAGAAGAAGCACCGGCUAACUACGUGCCAGCCGCCGCGGUAAUAC
rnacentral:rRNA from 1 species